rnacentral:tRNA from 1 species
ACCCAGCUGGCUCAGUCGGUAGAGCACGUGACUCUUAAUCUCAGGAUUAUGAAUUCGAGCCCCGUGUUGGGUG